UGGGGAAUAUUGCACAAUGGGCGCAAGCCUGAUGCAGCCAUGCCGCGUGUAUGAAGAAGGCCUUCGGGUUGUAAAGUACUUUCAGCGGGGAGGAAGGGAGUAAAGUUAAUACCUUUGCUCAUUGACGUUACCCGCAGAAGAAGCACCGGCUAACUCCGUGCCAGCAGCCGCGGUAAUACGGAGGGUGCAAGCGUUAAUCGGAAUUACUGGGCGUAAAGCGCACGCAGGCGGUUUGUUAAGUCAGAUGUGAAAUCCCCGGGCUCAACCUGGGAACUGCAUCGGAUACUGGCAAGCUUGAGUCUCGUAGAGGGGGGUAGAAUUCCAGGUGUAGCGGUGAAAUGCGUAGAGAUGUGGAGGAAUACCGGUGGCGAAGGCGGCCCCCUGGACAAAGACUGACGCUCAGGUGCGAAAGCGUGGGGAGCAAACAGG
rnacentral:rRNA from 1 species